GACGAACCGUGCGAACGUUGUUCGGAAUCACUGGGCUUAAAGGGCGCGUAGGCGGGUUUGCAAGUCUGUGGUGAAAGCCCCCAGCUUAAUUGAGGAAGCGCCGUGGAUACUGCGAAUCUUGAGGAGGGUAGGGGCGUCUGGAACGGUCGGUGGAGCGGUGAAAUGCGUUGAUAUCGACCGGAGCUCCGGUGGCGAAGGCGGCAUCCUGGACCAACACUGACACUGAGGAGCGAAAGCCAGGGGAGCAAACGGG
rnacentral:rRNA from 1 species